UUUUGUACACUUUCUGCAAUUUUAGUGCAGCUUGGUGCCUUUGUUUCCCUGAUUCAGCCAAUGGUAUAUGAUCUUUGGUUGUCAAUCGGUCAUCCUUCUCUCCACAUUCAUAGAUAAUAGAUCUAGAAAACAACUCAUUUUCCAUUUCUGAGGUAAGAGAUUUAAAGGAGAAUGUGGUAGUCAAAUCUCUUCCUCCUAAGCUUAUCAUCUCAGGUUCUGAACCACGACCUUUGAAACUGACAGAACUCAAAACAGUCCUCAUGUCCCCUUCCCCAGAAGCAAUUGAUUUCACAAGAACAGCAUCAAAAUGGCUAUCCAAAUCGUCAAAAUCAGCGAAUGGGCAUGAAAGUGCUAUCCCCAUUUUAUUCAAGAAAAGGAAAAUGGAGAUGUCUUCUUAGUGUCUCCCAACAACCAAUAUCUCAAACAAUAUAUGGGGGGUUCUUGAUAUCUCAAUCAGAGACAAGGAGAAACAAAUAAGCAAAGUGACUUAAGGCAAAGAGAGAGCCAAGAAAAGGCACGGACUGAAAAUGGACACAGCAAUGAAAAGAAAAGCGAACAACAAAGGAGAAG
rnacentral:misc_RNA from 1 species